rnacentral:rRNA from 1 species
CCAAACGUUAUUCGGAUUUACUGGGCUUAAAGAGUUCGUAGGCGGCGCAGUAAGUAGGGUGUGAAAGCCCUCGGCUCAACCGAGGAAUUGCGCCCUAAACUACUGUGCUUGAGGGACCUAGAGGUGAGCAGAACAGAUGGUGGAGCGGUGAAAUGCGUUGAUAUCAUCUGGAAUACCGGAGGCGAAGGCGGCUCACUGGGGGUCUUCUGACGCUGAGGAACGAAAGCCAGGGGAGCGAACGGG